UACUUAUUCUAAAGUAGGGGGGAGGGCAGGCGCUAUUCACCUUUGUUUUGAUUUUGCUUUAUUUACAACAAUGCCAGCCGAAUGUGGUUGGGUUGGGGGGUAAUUCUCAAAAAUUCAGAGGGUGAUUUUGUCUUUUGAGGUCAAUUCCUCCCCCCUCGAUUUUGCUUUAUUUACAACAAAACCGUGGGAUAUGGGGCUGGGUUGGAACGUAGUUAUUAAAAGUUAGGAGGGUAAUUUUGUCCUGUGCAUUUGAGACGGAUUGGGGUGGGUUUAGGUUUUGCUGUCAUUCAGUGCGGGUUUCGGGUAUGGCAGGCCAUGCUUCCUCUGAGAGAUGGAUAGAGACAGACGGAGCGAGAGAGAGAGAGGGAGAGGAAGGAGUGGGGAUCUCAGCACCCUUGCUGCAGAUCCUCGAUUUCAUGAGAGUGGGAGAGGGGGGACAGUCAGAGAAAAGCAUGGGGGGCCUUCGGGACUCGCAGACCCCGCAAGAACGACACAGACGGUCUCGCCUCCGUCGUCUUACUCCUCAUUUCUCUGUCUCUGGAAUCGAUUGAUCUAUUCGAAGAGGAUCGACAGUUCUGAAAUGGUAUUUAGAUUGGUAAGGUUUGUGCGUGUGCGGUUGAUGAUCGUGGAAGCCAGCGACACCCAGACUGCAACAUCGAAUCCUCUCCGAUCCUUAUUCCCAAAAGCUCUCCCUCUGAUUUGUCAUCAGGUAAGAAGGAACCUACUGGCCUCAGAUUGGAUGAUAAACGUGAAGAAAUCACACUGACCAAACCGAAUUCAACAAUCCCAGAGGUUGAAAACCACUGAGAAGAAAAGAUCUCUCUCUCGAUCUACUUUAAAGUGAUUGAAAAUUGGGUUUGAUUCCAUGUUGCAUGUGCUGCUUUAUUGCAAUUUUUUAAAUUCAUGUAUGAGGUACAAGGAAGAUAAACGACUAAAAAACAAGUAGAGGCAAGGAUUUUAGGUUUGAAUGCAAAAUGUUUCCUCAAAAUAGGGGGUUGUUGUUUGAUGUCAAUCAAGGUGCUGUUUCACAUUUUGUGCUCAUUUUGGAAGUGAUUCAUAGGUGCUCUGUAAAGGCUUCGAAGCUCUUUGUACUCAAGUAACAUUGCCCUUGAGUUUUUUGUUGAAAGGUUGAGUUCGAUGAAGAAAUAUGUAUUUGGAUUAGGCUCUGUUCAGGAAAAAGUUGUCAUGUCAAGCAAACAAUUGAUCCAUUUAAAAAGUUUGCACCACCUUAAUGGCCACAUCAAAAGCAGCUUUCACAUUCAAUUUUAUUCUCCCAAAAGCUACAAAUGUAGCUCCAAUGAUGGGUCGAGUAAGGUCCCUCAGUCCAUGAUUCACUCUCGAUCAUCUGUUCCCUUUUGCAUGUCGGAUGAGUGGCUGGAUUUCGAAAGCUAAGUUCAAUUUUUAAUUCGAUUCUUUACUGUUAGCAUAGAUUGUCAUCAUUUCUGCCUUUUUGCUGUGAAUUAUUUCCAGAUUUUGUUGCACUGUUAGGUCAGGUUUUGAGGGUUCCUUUAUUUGGUUUUGGGGGUUCCUUUAUUUGUUUCGUUUUCUCUCAUUUUGCGGAUGCAUCUCUGUGUUCUAUGUAUUGUUCCUAAGUAAGGUCAGUUUCCUUUAUUUUUUGGGUUUUCAGUUUGUUAAUCUGUGACUCUGUGUUUAGAUUUUUCGUUCGUGUAUGAUUAAAUGGGUAUUGGGUUUUGGUUGUUGAAAUUAUGAUUUUUUUCCUGCUAAAGCUUCUUGCUCAUUUUUCUGGAAAUGGGAAAAAUUGAGGAAAUUGAUAAAAUGGAAAUGGGAAAGAUUGGUUUUUUAAUUUUUGGUUUUGUGUUUCUGCAGGUGAAGUUUCUUUGCUGGGUGGGAAAACAGAGGAGGGGGACAAGGACGAUGGGGACACGGCGACGAGGGAGGCGAAAGAGGAGAUUGGUUUGGAUCCUAAGCUAGAAAAUAACUUCAAUGAGGAGCGAACUUGAAGCUGAGCUGACAGGUUUGCAGCUUCAGCAUGAAGAUGAGUGUGAGAAGAUGCAGGAUGAAUUGGAUCUUCAAAAGUCUAAAGAGGAGAAGCAGAGGGCAUUACUGCAAAUACAGUGGAGAGUUUUGGUAAUAAGCCACAAGAGGACGAAGAAGUGAAUUCAAAGAAGGUGGUUCUGAUAUGGAGGAGAAGCUGCAAGAGCUUAUGAUCUUGCUGCACUUAAGUACGACUGUUCUUUAACUCAUAUAAACUUUUCGUUACACCCCUGUGCUCUCACAGAGGGAAGCUCAUGGCUAACACUGUCGCUUAGGUUUGCUUUCUGCUGGACGUUAAACGUUUUUGUUCAAUGAUUAUAUAUAGCUUCAGAUGAGGAGACUAAAGAAUGAGUUUUGGAUCCUAAUUAUGGCUGCUCUUUCCUUGGAAUGGGAAGUGCUUUCGAUUCUUCUUCGUUUUCUUUUCUUUUCUUAUUCAUGUUGUUAAGGUUGGUGCAUUCAAGUCCCGCGGCAUCGCGCGGGCUUAUUACUAGUAAAUAUUUA